rnacentral:tRNA from 1 species
GCGCCCGUGGUGAAAUGGAUAUCAUACAAGAUUUCGGCUCUUGCGUUCCGGGUUCGAAUCCUGGCGGGCGCGCCA